rnacentral:rRNA from 1 species
GGUGACCUGCAGAUGGAUCAUUUCGAUGAAAAAACCUUUUUUUCUGAGGUGCGGCCCGCACCUGUCCAACUAAACUAGGGCUACCUUUUUUCAACACGGUUGCAUCGGUCGGGUUCGAAGCAGAGGCAUGCGAGAGUGUGUCUUUACGACGACCUGACACCUUACAAAAACACUUUUGAUGAUCUAGGAUUAAGAAAGAAUUUAUUAUUUUUACGGCUGGUAAUGCAGUCGUCUAAAAAUCUUAAAAACAACUUUUGGCAACGGAUCUCUUGGUUCUCCCAUCGAUGAAGAACGCAGCGAAUUGCGAUAAGUAAUGUGAAUUGCAGAAGUGAAUCAUCGAAUCUUUGAACGCACCUUGCGCUCCCUGCAGAUCUAAUCUGGGGAGCAUGCCUGUUUGAGGGCCGCGAAUUGUUUCGAGCGCCAGCUUUUUUAAUUAAGAGAUGGUAGCUUGGUAGUGAGGGUUUUGCCAUUUACCGUGGCUCCCUCGAAAUGCAUUAGUGCAUCCAUUUAAUAGGCAAAGACGGACGAAAGCUCGAUUUUUUCGCUCCCCUCUUCCCUGCCGGGUUUUGAUAAUAUCAGGACUUCGGAGGUGAAAGGGGGAAGCAAGAGCUGGACGCAACGUCGUUGCUGGUUGGAGUGCUUCUGAACACCACCUUUUUCGAAAGAAAAGGAAUUAAAUUCAAAUCGGCCUCAGAUUGGUAGGACUACCCGCUGAACUUAAGCAUAUCAAUAA